CUUUACUGAGAGGGUAGUGGAUGCAUGGAAUAGCCUUCCAGCUGAAGUGGUAGAGGUUAACACGGUAAAGGAGUUUAAGCAUGUGUGGGAUAGGCAUAAGGCUAUCCUAACUAUAAGAUAAGGCCAGGGACUAAUGAAAGUAUUUAGAAAAUUGGGCAGACUAGAUGGGCCGAAUGGUUCUUAUCUGCCGUCACAUUCUAUGUUUCUAU